UAUCAAGCACGGCGUAUAACUAGGGAACUGGGUAGAUUGGUAGCAAACCACUUUACAAGUUGGUCUCUGUACUGAGUCUUAGAGGGUAGAGGGAUCGGCAUAGUUGAAUCUGCCCAAUAUAGAUCUGUGGCCUGCAAGUGAUGCUCCAUGGCAGCAUUAAUAUGCAUGACUUGCCUGAUGAGUGAUAAACGUUAGUAAAUGUGGUAGUAUCUGAAUGGGCACCAUGCAGGGAUUUCAGUGGAUUAGAGCUAAUCCCUAUGGGGUCUUGUCUAGAGAAGAGUUUGGG